rnacentral:rRNA from 1 species
AUUGAACGCUGGCGGCAUGCUUUACACAUGCAAGUCGAACGGUAACAGGCCGCAAGGUGCUGACGAGUGGCGAACGGGUGAGUAAUGCAUCGGAACGUGCCCAGUCGUGGGGGAUAACGCAGCGAAAGCUGUGCUAAUACCGCAUACGAUCUAUGGAUGAAAGCGGGGGACCGUAAGGCCUCGCGCGAUUGGAGCGGCCGACGUCAGAUUAGGUAGUUGGUGGGGUAAAGGCCUACCAAGCCGACGAUCUGUAGCUGGUCUGAGAGGACGACCAGCCACACGGGGACUGAGACACGGCCCAGACGCCUACGGGAGGCAGCAGUGGGGAAUUUUGGACAAUGGGCGCAAGCCUGAUCCAGCAAUGCCGCGUGCAGGAAGAAGGCCUUCGGGUUGUAAACUGCUUUUGUACGGAACGAAACGGUCUGGGUUAAUACCCUGGGCUAAUGACGGUACCGUAAGAAUAAGCACCGGCUAACUACGUGCCAGCAGCCGCCGCAGUAA